GGAGGCAUAGCUCAGCCGGUUAGAGCGCUCGCUUCACAUGCGAGAGGUCAUGGGUUCGAGUCCCUUUGCCUCCACCA
rnacentral:tRNA from 1 species